rnacentral:autocatalytically_spliced_intron from 1 species
GGAGAUGAUGUACGGCAAGGUCUAGCAAACCAACGUUAGCGAGUCUUGGGUGCUGUCUGGUAACAGGCAGGGCUAGGUGUAGGCAGUUAGGAAGCAGUAUAUGAACU